rnacentral:tRNA from 1 species
GGACGGGUGGCCGAGUGGCUUAAGGCGCACGAUUGGAAAUCGUGUGGGUGCAAGCCCGCGUGGGUUCGAAUCCCACCCCGUCCG